UGGGGAAUAUUGCACAAUGGGCGAAAGCCUGAUGCAGCAACGCCGCGUGAGUGAUGAAGGCCUUCGGGUUGUAAAGCUCUGUCUUUUGGGACGAUAAUGACGGUACCAAAGGAGGAAGCCACGGCUAACUACGUGCCAGCAGCCGCGGUAAUACGUAGGUGGCAAGCGUUGUCCGGAUUUACUGGGCGUAAAGGAUGCGUAGGCGGAUUUUUAAGUGAGAUGUGAAAACCCUAAGCUUAACUUGGGGACUGCAUUUCAUACUGGAAAUCUAGAGUGCGGGAGAGGAGAAUGGAAUUCCUAGUGUAGCGGUGAAAUGCGUAGAGAUUAGGAAGAACACCAGUGGCGAAGGCGAUUCUCUGGACCGUAACUGACGCUGAGGCAUGAAAGCGUGGGUAGCAAACAGGAUUAGAUACCCUGGUAGUCCACGCCGUAAACGAUGAGUACUAGGUGUAGGAGGUAUCGACCCCUUCUGUGCCGCAGUUAACACAAUAAGUACUCCGCCUGGGAAGUACGAUUGCAAGAUU
rnacentral:rRNA from 1 species